UAGCGAAAAAUGAGGACAAUGACAGAAGC
rnacentral:piRNA from 1 species